rnacentral:rRNA from 1 species
AUACGGAGGACGCGAGCGUUAUCCGGAUUCAUUGGGUUUAAAGGGUGCGCAGGCGGCCGUGCAAGUCAGCGGUGAAAGCCCGGGGCUCAACCCCGGAAGUGCCGUUGAUACUGCGUGGCUGGAAUGCGGUCGAGGCGGGCGGAACGUGGCGUGUAGCGGUGAAAUGCGUAGAGAUGCCACAGAACACCGAUAGCGGAGGCAGCUCGCCAGGCCUGCAUUGACGCUCGGGCACGAAAGCGUGGGGAUCGAACAGGAUUAGAUACCCUGGUAGUCCACGCCGUAAACGAUGGGCGCUCGUCGUCGGCGGCAGACAGUCGGCGGCCAAGCGAAAGCGAUAAGCGCCCCACCUGGGGAGUACGGUCGCAAGGCUGAAACUCAAAUGAAUUGACGGGG